CCUAAUACAUGCAAGUCGAACGGGGAAAGCUUUCGGGUGAGUACUAGUGGCGCACGGGUGAGUAACGCGUGGAUAAUCUGCCUUAGAGUGGGGGAUAACCAGUCGAAAGAUUGGCUAAUACCGCAUAAGACCACAAGAUCUGCGGAUCAAGGGGUCAAAGGUUUUUCGCUCUAAGAUGAGUCCGCGUAAGAUUAGCUAGUUGGUGAGGUAACGGCUCACCAAGGCGACGAUCUUUAACUGGUCUGAGAGGAUGAUCAGUCACACUGGAACUGAGACACGGUCCAGACUCCUACGGGAGGCAGCAGUAGGGAAUAUUGCACAAUGGAGGAAACUCUGAUGCAGCGACGCCGCGUGAGUGAUGAAGGCCUUCGGGUCGUAAAGCUCUGUCGCAGGGGAAUAACACAAUGAAUGUACCCUGUAAGAAAGGAUCGGCUAACUUCGUGCCAGCAGCCGCGGUAAGACGAGGGAUCCUAGCGUUGUUCGGAAUCAUUGGGCGUAAAGCGGGUGUAGGUGGCUUUGUAAGUCAGGUGUGAAAGCCUAGGGCUCAACCCUAGAAGUGCAUCUGAUACUGCGAAGCUUGAGUGCUGGAGAGGCUAUUAGAAUUGUUGGUGUAGUGGUGAAAUACGUAGAUAUCAACAGGAAUACCGGAGGCGAAGGCGGAUAGCUGGCCAGACACUGACACUCAGACCCGAAAGCGUGGGGAUCAAACAGGAUUAGAUACCCUGGUAGUCCACGCCGUAAACGAUGGAUACUUGUUGUUAGAGGUAUUGACCCCUUUAGUGACGAAGCUAACGCGUUAAGUAUCCCGCCUGGGGAGUACGGUCGCAAGAUUAAAACUCAAAGAAAUUGACGG
rnacentral:rRNA from 1 species